GUUUCCUACGUCACCCUUAUCAGCGAAAAACACAGGCACGCACACACAGGGGGGGGGGCGCGGAUUUUGUGUACCGGCGGCACCGCCAUGGAGGAUGUCGUGACCGGCGUUGCCGGCACGGCCUCCUACCCGCUUCAUGUCUUGCAACGCAACAAGAAGACCGUCGGCAUCGUCGGCGCGGACGCGCUGGCUGCAUUGCCCAUGGCAGGUAGUAGCUGCACACAUCAUCUGGUCACCUCUGCCACCGAACUGAAGCCGUUCCUUACAGAUUCGCCGGCAGCGGAGGUGCUGUUCAAGUGGUGCGCGCGCGUCAGCUGCUCUCUGUCCCGCACGCUGAAGCGUCACUGUCUUGUUGUGAAGAAUGUGUCGCGCGGCGUCGCAAUCUCUGCACUUCUCGAGGGGGUCCGCAGCGACGAUAGCACCGUAGAAACGGUGUGGGCGGACGUUGAGCGCAGCGCGGAGCUGUGGAAAACGCCGUUCACAGGUGACAGCACCGAAACCCUGCACGUGUACAUGAUGAGCGUGCCGGAGGUGCCAGAUACCAUUUCCAACACGCUACAUGAUAUGCCCGGCGUCUCUGCCGCGGUGCCGGAGUGCAGUCUCGUCACCACCCGCGUCCUUCUUGGGGACUCCGCUAGUGAAAUCGUGGCGUCGAUUCGGCAGCUUUUCCACCAGUUUCUCGGCACUGAGGCGGAGAGCCUCACUGGCACAGAGGUGUGCUGGCCUGCUUCCAUGCUCUUCCCUGUCAAUGUGCACACCCGCGACGACGCGAGGCGGCGGGCAGAGCACGCGGCCCUGCGGCUGCCGUAUCAGGGUCUUCUGCACCAUGAAGAUGCCAUUCAAGCGUGGUCCACAUGGGACGACCUGCGCCGACAGCACGAGGCAAAGGACGCUUCCGUCUUUCGUACUGGCGCGGCCUGGGAGCGGCAUCUCGCCACCAGCCCGCACCGUGACCUCGCUCCUGCAUCCGCACCCUCCAUUCCGGGGGCGGAGACGCUUUUGGUGAGCGGCGCCUACGAUUACUACCACUACCGCGUCGACGGCUUCCGCGACGACGGCUGGGGCUGUGCCUACCGUAGCCUGCAAACGGUUCUUUCCUGGUUUCAGCACGCCGGUCUCCUACGCGCCGCUAUUCCGUCGAUCCGGCGCAUUCAGGAGAUUCUCUACCAGGUGGACCCGGACAAGGCGAGCAAGAGAGCCUUCGUCGGCUCACGUGACUGGAUCGGCAGCUUCGAGAUUAUGCUGGUGCUGCAGCAGUAUUUUCCCGGUCUGGAGUGCACCAUCAAGCGUCUGGAGAGAGGACAAGACCUGGACACGGACUCCUCGGUGCAGUUGCUUCUGAUCGAGCACUUCCGCAGCCCACUAGCCGCGCCGGUGAUGAUAGGAGGCAGCAGCUACGCGCACACGAUCCUCGGCGUCCACAUGAACGUCCACACAAUGGAGGCGCAGUACCUGAUCCUCGACCCGCACUACUCCGCCUACCCAACACAGAUCAAGACGGCUGUCAGGAAGGGCUACGUGGGGUGGAAAGAGGCCUCAAAGUUUUUUGAGGCGGGCUGCUGGUACAACUUGUGCAUCCCACGCGUUGACCUGUUCGAUCCUCGAUGACACGGCACAACAUUGUUUCUCUUCCGAUCGUGACGAGAGCUGUGGGUGCGGGUGUGUAAUUGUGAGCGCGACUCUCUCUCCCUCUCUCACCUCCAACAUGCCACUGCAGCCCGGUGUGGGAGAAUGACCGCGUCACCGGCCGAAUUGC
rnacentral:misc_RNA from 1 species